AUUGAACGCUGGCGGCAGGCUUAACACAUGCAAGUCGAGCGAGCGGCGGACGGGUGAGUAAUGUCUGGGAAACUGCCUGAUGGAGGGGGAUAACUACUGGAAACGGUAGCUAAUACCGCAUACCAUCAGAUGUGCCCAGAUGGGAUUAGCUAGUAGGUGGGGUAAUGGCUCACCUAGGCGACGAUCCCUAGCUGGUCUGAGAGGAUGACCAGCCACACUGGAACUGAGACACGGUCCAGACUCCUACGGUAGGCAGCAGUGGGGAAUAUUGCACAAUGGGCGCAAGCCUGAUGCAGCCAUGCCGCGUGUAUGAAGAAGGCCUUCGGGUUGUAAAGUACUUGCAGCGGGGAGGCGUUACCCGCAGAAGAAGCACCGGCUAACUCCGUGCCAGCAGCCGCGGUAAUAC
rnacentral:rRNA from 1 species